CACAGGGCUGUGAGGAGGAGCCUUUGAAUUUUGGCACCCAAUUUUAUCCCUUGCAACUGGGAAAGCAGGCUGGCCCCUUCUUCCUAUAACAGAG